AUGUGCUUUGAUACCUCAGUAGAUGGUGUUUGUGUUUAUUAAAUGAAAAGGAGUGAAUUAAACAGUAUGGGAUCAUAAAUGGAGAAGCUUACAGAAGAUAAGCCUUUCAAGUGAAGGAGAGUAAGGAAAGUGGUUGGGUAUUUUAAGAAGUGAAGAACCAUGUCCUGUGUGUGGAAUUGAAGAUAUUGAUCAACUAUUCCCACAAGAAGAAGCAUUUCCUUACAGGGUACCAUGGAUGUGAGGCAAUAUAAAUCCAAAGGACAAGCAACUUUCCUGCACAUUCAGUCUACAUUGUUU